UCUUCAUUUCACGCGCUCUCUCACCGGUCAUGGAGACAAGAGAGUGUGUGAAAUGAAGAGA
rnacentral:pre_miRNA from 1 species